rnacentral:rRNA from 1 species
AACAAUUAGAGGACAAGUCUGGUGCCAGCACCCGCGGUAAUUCCAGCUCUAAUAGCAUACGUUAAAGUUGUUGCGGUUAAAACGCUCGUAGUCGGCUUAAGAUCAUCAGAUGCCUGAUCCGGGAGCCCGGGACCGCUGCUCUUCGGAGCGCGCCGGGUAACUAGAGAGGGCGGGCGGUGGUCAAGUGUGCCUUGGGCUGCCUCUCCGGAGUCGCAGGGCUUGGUCAGCUUCCUUCACGGGGGGUUGGCCUUGUCCGGCCUGGGGUACCAUUUACUAUGAUUAAACUGGCGUGAUCAAAGCAGGUCGAUCGACCUUGCACAGCACAGCAUAGCAUAA